CCUACGGGUGGCAGCAGUGAGGAAUAUUGGUCAAUGGGCGCUAGCCUGAACCAGCCAAGUAGCGUGAAGGAUGACUGCCCUAUGGGUUGUAAACUUCUUUUAUAAAGGAAUAAAACGAGGCACGUGUGCCUUUUUGCAUGUACUUUAUGAAUAAGGAUCGGCUAACUCCGUGCCAGCAGCCGCGGUAAUACGGAGGAUCCGAGCGUUAUCCGGAUUUAUUGGGUUUAAAGGGAGCGUAGAUGGGUUGUUAAGUCAGUUGUGAAAGUUUGCGGCUCAACCGUAAAAUUGCAAUUGAUACUGGAAGUCUUGAGUACAGUUGAGUAAGGGGGAAUUCGUGGUGUAGCGGUGAAAUGCUUAGAUAUCACGAAGAACCCCGAUUGCGAAGGCAGCUUACUAAACUGUGACUGACAUUGAUGCUCGAAAGUGUGGGUAUCAAACAGGAUUGGAUACCCCAGUAGAC
rnacentral:rRNA from 1 species